rnacentral:ncRNA from 2 species
ACUUUUGCCCCAGCAAUUGGUAAUCGUUUCCGCGGUGCGGGACGAUUUUAAAAGGGAAUCCGGUGUGAAUCCGGAACAGUCUCCGCUGCUGUAACCC